rnacentral:rRNA from 1 species
AUUGAACGCUGGGGCAGGCCUAACACAUGCAAGUCGAGCGGAUGAAGGGAGCUUGCCCCUGGAUUCAGCGGCGGACGGGUGAGUAAUUCCCAGGAAUCUGCCUGGUAGGGGGGGAUAACGUCCGGAAACGGGGGCUUAUACCGCAUACGUCCUGAGGGGGAAAGUGGGGGGACUUCGGACCUCACGCUUUCCACUGAGCCUAGGUCGGAUUAGCUAGUUGGUGGGGUAAAGGCCUACCAAGGCGACGAUCCGUAACUGGUCUGAGAGGAUGAUCAGUCACACUGGAACUGAGACACGGUCCAGACUCCUACGGGAGGCAGCAGUGGGGAAUAUUGGACAAUGGGCGAAAGCCUGAUCCAGCCAUGCCGCGUGUGUGAAGAAGGUCUUCGGAUUGUAAAGCACUUUAAGUUGGGAGGAAGGGCAGUAAGUUAAUACCUUGCUGUUUUGACGUUACCAACAGAAUAAGCACCGGCUAACUUCGUG